rnacentral:lncRNA from 1 species
CAGCCCUAUAGGAGACACCUCCAGAGAAAGUAACAACUCUCAGUUGAUUAGCUGAGGAAGACACCAAAUGAGCUACACUGUUUUGGACUCCCCAACACAACCCAGCCACCGGCUGAAUGCCACCAAAUUACCUUCUAGUUAAAGCUUUAUGGAGCAAACGAAUCACCUAUUCAAUAUCUGCUUGAAUUUCUGACUCAAAAUAUAUCAGGCUGGAGUGCAGUGGUACAAUCAUGACUCAUUGCAGCCUCAACCUCCCAGGCUCAAAAGAUCCUCCCGCCUCAGCCUUCCAAGUAGCUGGGAUUAGAGAAGCUUCAGGGGCUGGAUCCUGACAUGAACCAGGCACCUCCAGAAUUCUAUCCCAAGCAAAAGAUUACUUCAAGGCCAGAACUCACUCCCUGCUGGAGACUGACUACAAGAUCCACUGAGAUUGACUUGUAACCUGAUUGGGCCCACAGUGAUGCUAGCCCCUUCACCAGAUGGAACAAUAAUUCCAGACAAGCCAUCAGAGCAGAGAGCAGAGAAGAGGAGAAGCAGCUGGACGUCUCUUGACGUUGGAGAAAAGCAGCUUGACUUCAGAGGGACAGUUUGACAGCAUGGAUUCAGAAAGGAGAAGAUCACCUUCCUGCUCCAUCCCCUUUCCAGCUCCCCUUCCCACUGAGAGCCACUUACACUGGCAAUAAAAUCCUCUGCAUU